rnacentral:rRNA from 1 species
UACGUAGGGUGCAAGCGUUGUCCGGAAUUAUUGGGCGUAAAGAGCUCGUAGGCGGUUUGUCGCGUCUGCUGUGAAAUCUGGGGGCUCAACCCCCAGCCUGCAGUGGGUACGGGCAGACUAGAGUGCGGUAGGGGAGAUUGGAAUUCCUGGUGUAGCGGUGGAAUGCGCAGAUAUCAGGAGGAACACCGAUGGCGAAGGCAGAUCUCUGGGCCGUAACUGACGCUGAGACACGAAAGCCAGGGGAGCAAACGGG